rnacentral:rRNA from 1 species
AGCAGCCGCGGUAAUUCCAGCUCCAAUAGCGUAUAUUAAAGUUGUUGCAGUUAAAAAGCUCGUAGUUGAAUUUCGGGAUCAGUAUGUUGGUCGUGCCUUCGGUACGUACUGGCUUUACUGGUUCCUCCUUCUUGAAGAACUGUAAUGUCAUUAAUUUGGUGUUGCAGGGAAACAGGACUGUUACUUUGAAAAAAUUAGAGUGUUUAAAGCAGGCUAACGCUUGAAUACAUUAGCAUGGAAUAAUGAAAUAGGACGUUCGAUCCUAUUUUGUUGGUUUCUAGGAUUGACGUAAUGAUUAAUAGGGAUAGUUGGGGGCAUUAGUAUUCAAUUGUCAGAGGUGAAAUUCUUGGAUUUAUUGAAGACUAACUACUGCGAAAGCAUUUGCCAAGGAUGUUCUCAUUAAUCAAGAACGAAAGUUAGGGGAUCGAAGACGAUCAGAUACCGUCGUAGUCUUAACCAUAAACUGUGCCGACUAGGGAUCGGAUGAUGUUAAUUUUUUAAUGACUCA